rnacentral:rRNA from 1 species
CAGUCGCCGCGGUAAUACGUAGGGCGCAAGCGUUAUCCGGAAUUAUUGGGCGUAAAGAGCUCGUAGGCGGUUUGUCGCGUCUGCCGUGAAAGUCCGGGGCUCAACCCCGGAUCUGCGGUGGGUACGGGCAGACUAGAGUGAUGUAGGGGAGACUGGAAUUCCUGGUGUAGCGGUGAAAUGCGCAGAUAUCAGGAGGAACACCGAUGGCGAAGGCAGGUCUCUGGGCAUUAACUGACGCUGAGGAGCGAAAGCAUGGGGAGCGAACAGGAUUAGAUACCCCAGUAGUCCCUGUCUCUUAUAA